AUACGAAGGGGGCUAGCGUUGUUCGGAAUUACUGGGCGUAAAGCGCGCGUAGGCGGAUUGGUCAGUUAGGGGUGAAAUCCCAGGGCUUAACCCUGGAACUGCCUCUAAUACUGCCAGUCUUGAGUUCGGGAGAGGUGAGUGGAAUUCCUAGUGUAGAGGUGAAAUUCGUAGAUAUUAGGAAGAACACCAGUGGCGAAGGCGGCUCACUGGCCCGAUACUGACGCUGAGGCGCGAAAGCGUGGGGAGCAAACAGGAUUAGAAACCCGAGUAGUCC
rnacentral:rRNA from 1 species